rnacentral:rRNA from 1 species
UAGGGAAUCUUCCACAAUGGACGAAAGUCUGAUGGAGCAACGCCGCGUGAGCGAUGAAGGCCUUCGGGUCGUAAAGCUCUGUUGUUAGGGAAGAACAUGUACCGGAGUAACUGCCGGUACCUUGACGGUACCUAACCAGAAAGCCACGGCUAACUACGUGCCAGCAGCCGCGGUAAUACGUAGGUGGCAAGCGUUGUCCGGAAUUAUUGGGCGUAAAGCGAGCGCAGGCGGUCCUUUAAGUCUGAUGUGAAAGCCCACGGCCCAACCGUGGAGGGUCAUUGGAAACUGGGGGACUUGAGUACAGAAGAGGAAAGCGGAAUUCCACGUGUAGCGGUGAAAUGCGUAGAGAU